GUGCAGUCAAUUAAGCCGACCAGCCCCUGCAGCCAUCAGGGGCUGGUGUGCAAUGGCUGCACACAGCAACUCCCCUGGUUGUGUAUGUGCUCCGUUCUCUGUAUGGAGUGCUUUAAGGGACCUCGGGAACACCU